GAUGAACGCUAGCUACAGGCUUAACACAUGCAAGUCGAGGGGAAACGAUAGAGAAAGCUUGCUUUUUCUAGGCGUCGACCGGCGCACGGGUGAGUAACGCGUAUCCAACCUGCCCAUCACUUGGGGAUAACCUUGCGAAAGUAAGACUAAUACCCAAUGACGUCUCUAGAAGACAUCUGAAAGAGAUUAAAGAUUUAUCGGUGAUGGACGGGGAUGCGUCUGAUUAGCUUGUUGGCGGGGUAACGGCCCACCAAGGCGACGAUCAGUAGGGGUUCUGAGAGGAAGGUCCCCCCACAUUGGAACUGAGACACGGUCCAAACUCCUACGGGAGGCAGCAGUGAGGAAUAUUGGUCAAUGGCCGAGAGGCUGAACCAGCCAAGUCGCGUGAAGGAUGAAGGUCCUACGGAUUGUAAACUUCUUUUGUACGGGAAUAAAGUUUCCUACGUGUAGGAUUUUGUAUGUACCGUAUGAAUAAGCAUCGGCUAACUCCGUG
rnacentral:rRNA from 1 species